GGAGAUAAGAGGUCUGUCAUUAGCCCCCUAAUUUGUGGAGAAUGUGGUAAAUUGUAGCAGAAAGGAAGAAGGAAGCAACAGUGUCAGAGUUUUAGUUUGAAGACAGAAGGAUCUUGGAGGUUCUGGGAGGUAGAGGAGGGAUCUGCUGGGGGCUAAACAAUUAUAGUCUUCACCCACCCCUAGCAGGAAAAGCAGAACUUCAAGGGUCAAAUUCUGCUCAAUAGCAUCAUAACACCACCAUCUUCAUUAGCCUUGGAACGGUGUUGCACCAAGUGGGAAUCUGGCCCCACAGGAAACCUGUGGGAGCAGCAGAUGAAACUUGUCGUUUCUGACUGAAGCGGAAAAGUCUAUUGGCUGCUGUCUUACCAAGUGACCAGGAAUAUCGCUGCUGCAGUAUGUCGUGCUGAUAUGGCACAGGCAUUGUUCUUCACAUCCACAAGGACAUAUCCAUCAAGGUAUCCCUUCAGGAUGCUGAAGCAGAACAAUGCAGCCCAGUCUGGAUCAAGCUCAGCAGUUGCAAAGGUGGAUUAAAUAAAUGCAUGCAGAUAAUGCAUGAGGAGCACCAAGAGAUGUAACCACCCUCAGAGGUUUACCAGACUACUGAGAAAGCAUUCAGUAAUUCAUGUGCAUUCAUCAUGUUUAAAAAUCACCAGCUCUUGCAACUGGCUGCAUAUUCAGCAGCUCACUAAUAGCAUAAUGUCAUGGGAUGGAUACAAGAGUGAAACAUAAUGGGAGCUGACAAGCUGGACAGGUCUCAGAAAUCUACACAGAAACUACUGCCCAGAGCAAAAAGCAAAAAUAUAGAAUAACAUAAAAAUCUUGGCAGAAGGCUGGAGGGACUCUAAACAUUGCAGUGUGGGACACCUCCAAUUAUUUUUGACUGGCAAGUGUAGUCCUUGCUGGAUUUUUUUUCUACUUCAAGGCUUUCCUGACAUAGCCUCUGUAUUGAGUUCACUGGUUGUAAUAAAUAAAUAGGCAUGUGGUUUCCAUUGGAUGUGGUAUGUUUAAACUGCUGCAACCAGCAGUGACUUAAGGUAACAGAUGAGGCUCUCCCCUCCUUCCUUCAUGUCGUUCCCCCCCCCCCCCCCCCCCCCCAGAUGAUAUUCUCUCUGAGCAUGAGCAGUUCUGGCAGUGAUUUGACAUCUCACAGCCUGCCUGGUACUGAUCAACAUUUCUGAUGUGAUCUUGCAGGC